rnacentral:rRNA from 1 species
GAUGAACGCUGGCGGCGUGCUUAACACAUGCAAGUCGAACGAAGCAUUUAGAACAGAUUAUUUCGGUACGAAGUUGUUUAUGACUGAGUGGCGGACGGGUGAGUAACGCGUGGGUAACCUGCCUUGUACUGGGGGAUAGCAGCUGGAAACGGCUGGUAAUACCGCAUAAGCGCACGGUGCUGCAUGGCACAGCGUGAAAAACUCCGGUGGUAUAAGAUGGACCCGAGUCUGAUUAGCUAGUUGGUGAGAUAACAGCCCACCAAGGCGACGAUCAGUAGCCGACCUGAGAGGGUGACCGGCCACAUUGGGACUGAGACACGGCCCAGACUCCUACGGGAGGCAGCAGUGGGGAAUAUUGCACAAUGGAGGAAACUCUGAUGCAGCGACGCCGCGUGAGUGAAGAAGUAAUUCGUUAUGUAAAGCUCUAUCAGCAGGGAAGAUAGUGACGGUACCUGACUAAGAAGCUCCGGCUAAAUACGUGCCAGCAGCCGCCGUAA